rnacentral:rRNA from 1 species
GGUUGCGAUCAUACCAGCACUAAUGCACCGGAUCCCAUCAGGACUCCGCAGUUAAGCGUGCUUGGGCGAGAGUAGUACUAGGAUGGGUUACCCCCUGGGAAGUCCUCGUGUUGCAACCC